AUUGAACGCUGGCGGCAGGCUUAACACAUGCAAGUCGAGCGAGCGGCGGACGCGUGAGUAAUGUCUGGUAAUCCCCCUGUUGGAGGGGGAUAACUUCUGGAAACGGUAGCUAAUACCGCAUACCAUCAGACGUGCCCAUAUGUGAUUGGCUAGUAGUCGGGGUAAUGGCUCACCUAGGCGACGCUCCCUAGCUGGUCUGAGAGGAUUAUCAGCCACACUGGAACUGGGACACGGUCCAGACUCCUACGGGAGGCAGCAGUGGGGAAUAUUGCACAAUGGGCGCAAGCCUGAUGCAGCCAUGCCGCGUGUGUGAAGAAGGCCUUCGGGUUGUAAAGCACUUGCAGCGAGGAGGCGUUACUCGCAGAAGAAGCACCGGCUAACUCCGUGCCAGCAGCCGCGGUAAUUC
rnacentral:rRNA from 1 species